rnacentral:rRNA from 1 species
CUGGUUGAUCCUGCCAGUAGUCAUAUGUUCGUCUUAAAGAUUAAGCCAUGCAAGUGUAAGUUUAAAUAGAUUAAAGUUGAGACUGCGAAUGGCUCAUUAAAUCAGUUAUAGUUUAUUUGAUAAAGUAUACUACUUGGAUAACCGUAGUAAAUCUAGAGCUAAUACAUGCAUAUAUAAAGCCCUUUAAAAGGCCGUAUUUAUUAGAUUAAAAAACCAACUAGUGUGGUGCAAAUCAUACUAUUAAAAUUGGUCAGUCUGGAUAACUGAACUAAUCGUAUAACCUAGUGUUGUCGAGGAUUCAAUCAAAUAUCUGCCCUAUUAACUUUCGAUGGCUGGGUAUUGGCCCGCCAUGGUUAUAAUGGGUAACGGGGAAUCAGGGUUCGAUUCCGGAGAGGAAGCCUUAGAAACGGCUACCACUUCCAAGGAAGGCAGCAGGCGCGCAAAUUACCCAAUUCGAAUACCGAGAGGUAGUGACGAGAAAUAACAAGGCUCUGUCUUAUAAUAGCAGACCAUUGGAAUGAAUACAAUUUAAAAAACUUAAUAAGUAACAAUUGGAGGACAAGUCUGGUGCCAGCACCCGCGGUAAUUCCAGCUCCAAUAAUGUAUACUAAAGUUGUUGCGGUUAAAAAGCUCGUAGUUGAAUUUAGGGAUUGUCAAGAAAUAAGACAACGAUAGUAGUUAUAGUAAGCUUCGGCGAACUUGAUUAUUAAGUUAGUCCUUGUAUAAUCUUAAAUAGAAAUAGGCGUUAAAAACCUAUAUAAUUAUAGUUAGUUGUAGGCGUUUUAUCUUAAUUGAUUGAACGUAAAACAGGAAGCUUCGGCGACUUGCUACUCUAGCUCAUUUACUGUGAAAAAAUUAGAGUGUUAAAAGCAGAUUUAAACGUGUCUGAAUAGUAGAGCAUAGGAUAAUAUAAUAAGGCUCGAAUUAAGUUGUUGGUUACUUAGUGUUUUAAUAAAUACGAUUAAGCGUUAUCUUCGGAUUACAAUUAAUAGUAUUGAGCAAUGAUUAAUAGGGGUAGUCGGGGGUAUUAAUAUUUACGGGCUAGAGGUGAAAUUCUUUGAUUCUGUAAAGAUUAACUGAUGCGAAGGCGUUUACCAAGGAUGCUUUCAUUAAUCAAGAACGAUAGUUAGGGGAUCGAACUCGAUCAGAUACCGAGGUAGUCUUAACUGUAAAAGAUGACGACUAGCGGUUGGUAGGUAUCCAUACUUAAAUUGUUCCCACCAGAAGCUGAAAGAAAUUGAAGUUUAUGGUUUCCGGGGGGAGUAUGGUCGCAAGACUGAAACUUAAAGGAAUUGACGGAAGGGCACACCACGGAGUGGAGCCUGCGGUUUAAUUUGACUCAACACGGGGAAACUCACCAGGUCCAGAUAAUAGUAUGAUUGACAGACUGAAGUUCUUUCUUGAUUGAUUAAGUGGUGGUGCAUGGCCGUUCUUAGUUGGUGGAGUGAUUUGUCUACUUAAUUGUGAUAACGAACGAGACUGAAACGUAUUAAAUAGCUUAGAUCAACUUAUCGUAAAAUUUGAAUAGUAGUAUAGUUGGAUUUAGCUUAGUAAUAGGAAAAAGAUAGUUAUAAUAUUGGCGAAGGUAGGUUGGUCUUUGACCCCUAAAACAGGUUUUAAAAGCUUCUUAGUCGGACAACUGGUUUCCAGCCAGUGGAGGAUUUCAGCAAUAACAGGUCUGUGAUGCCCUUUGAUGUUCUGGGCCACACGCGUGCUACAAUGAUUGUUGCAGCGAGUGCUAUACAGUUGAUUAAGCUAUAAACUUAACACUGAUAAACCUUUACUUAAAAGUAUGGGUAAUCUUUUUAAAAACAAGCGUAACUGGGAUUGGGUCUUGCAAUUAUUGCCCAUUAACGAGGAAUUCCUAGUAAGCAUAAUUCAUCACAUUGUGUUGAUUACGUCCCUGCCCUUUGUACACACCGCCCGUCGCUCCUACCGAUUGAAUGAUCCGGUGAAAACUCCUGAUGAUCAAAUACAUAUACUUGGGCAACUGAGUUAGUAUUUAACUAGAAGUUGUUUGAACCUUAUCAUUUAGAGGAAGGAGAAGUCGUAACAAGGUAAUCGUAGGUGAACCUGCAGAAGGAUCAAGCUUGGAUCCCGGG